ACCUAGGAUGUAACCAAUCAGUUCCUUGAGUAGAAUCUUAAUCCAUUUGUACAAUACAUGAUUCGUACAUAACGUAAAUUGAUCUUAAAAGUCAUAACUAAAUUGAUAUACACAACGAAGAUUCGCCGAUUAUUCCUUUAUUAACCGACUUCCAAAAAAGGAGGAGGUUCUCAAUUCGACUGUAUUUUUUUUGUGUAUGUUACAUCAGAACUUUUGACCGGGUAGACCGAUUUCGACAAAUUUUGUUUUAAUCGAAAGGUGGUGUGUGUCAUUUGGUCCCAUUUAAAUUUAUUUGAGAUCUAACGACUACUUUUCGAGUUAUAUCUAAUAAUGCGUUUUUACUUGACGCUUUUUUCGUCGAUCUACGUUGUAUUAUACCACGUAACUUUCUACUGGAUGUACCGAUUUUGAUAAUUCUUUUUUUGUUGGAAAGGGGAUAGCCCUAGUUUGGUACCAUGAUAAGGAAACCAG
rnacentral:misc_RNA from 1 species